rnacentral:rRNA from 1 species
AUUGAACGCUGGCGGCAUGCUUUACACAUGCAAGUCGAACGGUAACAGGCCGCAAGGUGCUGACGAGUGGCGAACGGGUGAGUAAUGCAUCGGAACGUGCCCAGUCGUGGGGGAUAACUACUCGAAAGAGUAGCUAAUACCGCAUACGAUCUAUGGAUGAAAGCGGGGGACCGUAAGGCCUCGCGCGAUUGGAGCGGCCGAUGUCAGAUUAGGUAGUUGGUGGGGUAAAGGCUCACCAAGCCAACGAUCUGUAGCUGGUCUGAGAGGACGACCAGCCACACUGGGACUGAGACACGGCCCAGACUCCUACGGGAGGCAGCAGUGGGGAAUUUUGGACAAUGGGCGCAAGCCUGAUCCAGCAAUGCCGCGUGCAGGAAGAAGGCCUUCGGGUUGUAAACUGCUUUUGUACGGAACGAAACGGCUCUGGUAAUACCCGGGGCUAAUGACGGUACCGUAAGAAUAAGCACCGGCUAACUACGUG